AUACGGAGGAUGCGAGCGUUAUCCGGAUUUAUUGGGUUUAAAGGGUGCGCAGGCGGGCGAUUAAGUCAGCGGUGAAAGGCUCGGGCUCAACCGGAGCAGUGCCGUUGAUACUGGUUGUCUUGAAUGCGGUCAAGGCCGGCGGAAUGUGGCGUGUAGCGGUGAAAUGCAUAGAUAUGCCACAGAACACCGAUAGCGAAGGCAGCUGGCCGGGCCUGCAUUGACGCUGAGGCACGAAAGCGUGGGGAUCGAACAGGAUUAGAUACCCUGGUAGUCCACGCUGUAAACGAUGGACACUCGUUGUCGGCGACAGACAGUCGGCGGCCAAGCGAAAGUGAUAAGUGUCCAACCUGGGGAGUACGGUCGCAAGGCUGAAACUCAAAUGAAUUGGCGGGG
rnacentral:rRNA from 1 species